AUGCGGGUGUAAAUAUGCAGCUUAUUACAGAGAAGAUUGGGCACCGCUCUACAUCCGUGCUUUCCUAUAAAAGAGCUCCAGCAGAAGGUCAGCAGCAUUAUAAGAAAGAGUGACAGAGUCUUGCCAGAAAGGCAUAUCAAAAAGACGAAAACAACACACGAUUUUCCAGGCUGUGUAGCCGGAACAAGUGAUAUUCAAACAGAAUCAGGAAAUUUUUCAUUCAGAAAGUUUUGAUUGAUAUUCAAGUGAAGUUUCUGUGGUGUUUUAUAGCUCCACACAAUUCAUCACAUGGAAGAUAUUAAAACAAACGUGUGUAUUCUUUGGUUCCUGAAUAAAUGAAAUAUACAGAUAACGCACAAUGGACUUUACAUAGAAAAACAAUUAUAACAGAAUAGAAAGAGAGAUAAAGACAUUAGAGGGAGAGAGAAGAGGGAGAGAUAAUUAAGAAAAAAGCUGAUUUCAUCUGUUCCACUGGGCAUCAAACUUUUCCUUUCCACUAUUUUUAUAAGAAAUAAAUUUGUGUGUUUCAUAAUAAAAUUUCAUUUGUGAUACUGCAGCACAUUAA